rnacentral:rRNA from 1 species
UACGUAGGGGGCAAGCGUUGUCCGGAUUUAUUGGGCGUAAAGAGCGUGUAGGCGGCCUGAAAGGUCAGCUGUGAAAACUCGAGGCUCAACCUCGAGACGUCGGUUGAAACCAUCUGGCUAGAGUCCGGAAGAGGAGUGUGGAAUUCCCGGUGUAGCGGUGAAAUGCGCAGAUAUCGGGAAGAACACCCGUGGCGAAGGCGGCACUCUGGGACGGUACUGACGCUGAGACGCGAAAGCGUGGGGAGCGAACAGGAUUAGAUACCCUGGUAGUCCACGCUGUAAACGAUGGGUGCUAGGUGUGGGGGGUGUCGACUCCCUCCGUGCCGAAGCUAACGCAUUAAGCACCCCGCCUGGGGAGUACGGCCGCAAGGCUAAA